AAAGACUCAAUUGUUAGGUUUCUGUGUCCAACGUUUAACCAUUCGUUUUACAUGAAUUUUUUUUUAUGAUUAGUAUUUUUAUUAUUGUUAGAUAAUAAACAUGAAUAAUACUUUAUGCAUGAUUUAUCUUUUUAAAUUUUUUCAAAUAAGACGGACGGUCAAACGUUAGACACGGAAACCCAGGAAUUGAGUUUUU
rfam:Oryza meridionalis cultivar OR44 (W2112) chromosome 3, whole genome shotgun sequence.